UGGGGAAUUUUGGACAAUGGACGCAAGUCUGAUCCAGCCAUGCCGCGUGCGGGAAGAAGGCCUUCGGGUUGUAAACCGCUUUUGUCAGGGAGGAAACGAGUUUCUCUAAUACAGAGACUUAAUGACGGUACCUGAAGAAUAAGCACCGGCUAACUACGUGCCAGCAGCCGCGGUAAUACGUAGGGUGCAAGCGUUAAUCGGAAUUACUGGGCGUAAAGCGUGCGCAGGCGGUUAUAUAAGACAGAUGUGAAAUCCCCGGGCUCAACCUGGGAACUGCCUUUGUGACUGCAUAGCUAGAGUACGGUAGAGGGGGAUGGAAUUCCGCGUGUAGCAGUGAAAUGCGUAGAUAAGCGGAGGAACACCGAUGGCGAAGGCAAUCCCCUGGACCUGUACCGACGCUCAUGCACGAAAGCGUGGGGAGCAAACA
rnacentral:rRNA from 1 species